AAAAGAAAAGACAAGAGGGCAUCCCAUGGAAGAGACAAGAAAGGAUCGGAUCAAGACUCACCAAAGCAGAAAAAACUGAAAAAUGGUGCAAACAUAAGUGAAUCUCUGCUCGCCAUGCACCCAUCAGAUGUCCUGGAUAUGCCAGUGGACCCUAAUGAACCCACAUACUGUUUAUGUAGUCAAGUAUCAUAUGGAGAAAUGAUUGGAUGUUGACAAUUCUGAUUGUCCAAUAGAAUGGUUUCACUUUGCUUGUGUUGGCCUAACAACCAAACCAAAAGGAAAAUGGUACUGCCCACGAUGCACCCAAGAGAUGAGAAAAAAAUAGUCUACAUCUACAAUGCAUCCUAAAUCAAAUGUCCAAUUAUUACAGCCUAUUCAGUGGAAAUCAGUUACAUUUUUGUAAAUGUGCCUUUCAUAUGUAGACGACCAUGAAUGUAACAAUAGGGAAUAAUAUUAAAUGUAUUUUCCAGUUGGUGCCAGCAGAGGGCUUGGAUCUCUUUUCAUUUUGACUUGGAAUAAAGUUUUUUUUUUUUAA